rnacentral:lncRNA from 12 species
UGAGCAUGGAACAUUUUUCCUUCUCUUUAUGCCUUCCUCGAUUUCUUUCAGGAACGUCCUGUGGUGUUUAGGGUACAGAUCCUUUACCACUUUAGUUAGGUUUAUUCCUAGGUAGCUUAUGCUUUUGGGUACAAUUGUAAAUGGGAUUGACUCCUUAAAUUUCGAGGCUCUUCAAACAACAAUAUGUCAGUCAACAGCUCUUUCUCUGUCCAUUUAUUUCACAGGAUCUGCGGUGGAAACAAAUAAACAAAAAUUGAGUGGACAACCUGGAGACACCUGCCCUGAAAAACGGCUGAAAAUAUUCACAAUAUACCGCAGCAAGGAACUUGACUCAUCAUCAGAUAUCCGAGAGGGAGCUGUGGUGGAAACAAAUAAACAAAAAUUGAGUGGACAACCUGGAGACACCAGCCCUGAAAAACGGCUGAAAAUAUUCACAAUAUACCGCAGCAAGGAACUUGACUCAUCAUCAGAUAUCCGAGAGGGUAACAUGAAAAUUGAUUCAUUAAAUAUCCUCAAGAAAUAUUGUCCUAAGGGCACCUGGGUGUUUCUGUCAGCUAAGUUUCUGCCUCCUGGUUUUCAGCUCUGGUCAUGACCUCAAGGUCAUCAGAUUCACCCAUAUUCAGCAUGGAGCCUGCUUUGUAUUCUCUCUUCCUUUCCCUCUGCCCCUCUCCUCCUUACACUUGCUCUUUUGCUCUCUCCACACACGCAACACAGAAUCAUUAGUCAGUUUUGCUCGGGGUGCCAUAGUAAAGACAAACCUCCUAAGCCGUAUUCUUUGUUUCAUGUGUCCACAUCUUAAUUUAAAAGGUCAGUCAUUAGUUUGUGGCCAAAAUAGUGAAAUCGCAUUGAGAACUCUAAUUUGGUCAGUUUUAAUGUGAGGGGUUGUGAAGAUAACAUUUGGACAUACUAGUCCAUGUUAAAUAUUAGAAAAUGUUUUCUGUUUUUACAUUUUUUUAUUGGAGUUCAAUUUUCCAGUAUAUAGCAUAACACCAGUGCUCAUCCCGCCAGGUGCCCCCAUCAGUUCCCUUCUCCCAGUCAUCCCAACCACCUGCCCAGCACCCUUUCCACUACCCCUUGUUCAGUUCCCAGAGUUUGGUGUGUCUCCUGUUUUGUCACCCUCACUGAUAUUUUCCCUCAUUUCGCCAUUCCCUUUAUUCCCUUUCACCAGUUUUUAUAUUCCCCAAAUGAAUGAGACCAUAUCAAGUUUGUCCUUUUCUGAUGGACUUAUUUCACUCAGCGUAAGUCCCUCCAGGUCUGUCCAUGUCAGAUCAAAUGGUGGGUAUUUGUCGUCUCUCAUGGCUGAGGAAUAAUUCCAUUGUAGCCGUGGACCACAUCUUCUUUAUCCCUUCAUCUCUCGAUGGAUCCCUACGCUCCUUCCACAGUUUGCCUACUGUGGACGUUGCUGCCAUAAACAGCGGGGUGCAGGUGUCCCCGCAUUUCACCGCAUCUGCAGCUUUGGGGUGAAUCCCCAGCAGUGCAAAGGCUGGGCCAUAGGGAAGAUCUGUUUUUAACUCUUUGAGGAACCUCCACACAGGUUUCCAGAGUGGCUGCACCAGUUCACAUUCCCACCUACAUUGCAAGAGGGUUCCCCU